rnacentral:rRNA from 2 species
ACGGGUGAGUAACGCGUGGGAAUCUACCCAUCUCUACGGAACAACUCCGGGAAACUGGAGCUAAUACCGUAUACGUCCUUCGGGAGAAAGAUUUAUCGGAGAUGGAUGAGCCCGCGUUGGAUUAGCUAGUUGGUGGGGUAAUGGCCUACCAAGGCGACGAUCCAUAGCUGGUCUGAGAGGAUGAUCAGCCACAUUGGGACUGAGACACGGCCCAAACUCCUACGGGAGGCAGCAGUGGGGAAUAUUGGACAAUGGGCGCAAGCCUGAUCCAGCCAUGCCGCGUGAGUGAUGAAGGCCCUAGGGUUGUAAAGCUCUUUCAACGGUGAAGAUAAUGACGGUAACCGUAGAAGAAGCCCCGGCUAACUUCGUGCCAGCAGCCGCGGUAAUACGAAGGGGGCUAGCGUUGUUCGGAAUUACUGGGCGUAAAGCGCACGUAGGCGGAUUGUUAAGUUAGGGGUGAAAUCCCAGGGCUCAACCCUGGAACUGCCUUUAAUACUGGCAAUCUCGAGUCCGAGAGAGGUGAGUGGAAUUCCGAGUGUAGAGGUGAAAUUCGUAGA